UACGGGGGGGGCAAGCGUUGUUCGGAAUUACUGGGCGUAAAGGGCUCGUAGGCGGCCAACUAAGUCAGACGUGAAAUCCCUCGGCUUAACCGGGGAACUGCAUCUGAUACUGGAUGGCUUGAGUUCGGGAGAGGGAUGCGGAAUUCCAGGUGUAGCGGUGAAAUGCGUAGAUAUCUGGAGGAAUACCGGUGGCGAAGGCGGCAUCCUGGACCAUUACUGACGCUGAGGCGCGAAAGCUAGGGGAGCAAACGGG
rnacentral:rRNA from 1 species